UAUUUCCAAAAGCUUCUCGACAAAGCUUCUGUUUUCCUAUCUUCCUCGAGAAGCUAACCGCAUGUGUCGGCUGAUGUAUGUCGGCUUUAUACAAAAAUCCACUCGUGUUCGAGCAUCUUCCUCUCUCAAAACAUCAACUCUGUUCCCUCAAUCUGUCAGCUAGCGCAAAGAGAUAUUGAGCUAUUUCAGCUGUGAAGUCCUCCGGUAGGAUUUAAUGCUGGUUGCACGCUCACCUAGUGAUUGUGGUGAAGAAUAAAGAAAGGUAUAAAAACAUGGCAGCCGUUAAAUGUUGCGCAAGCUUUUACGCCGUUGCUUGGCCAUCGGUCGGAGUGGUCGGAUCUUUUCAAGCUCAAGAGACAACGGUCCACCUCCAAUUCAUCACAAAGACACAUAGACUCAUGCGCGCCCACACAGACAAUGAGACCACAACCUGAUUGGCGAGAAAGUCCGUGAGCUAGGCGAUGCUGUGGCUCUCAUUAUGUUUCGCAAUUUUUAGUUUUUCCUAUGUCUUCGAAGUGGACCACUUUGUAAGUAUUUUCCGAUUGCUCGGAACACUUUCUUUCGUGUUUCUCAAUCCUGGAUCCAUUCAAAACCCACGAGGAGAAUUGCCA